GGCUCAGAUUGAACGCUGGCGGCAUGCUUUACACAUGCAAGUCGAACGGUAACAGGUCUUUCGGGAUGCUGACGAGUGGCGAACGGGUGAGUAAUGUAUCGGAACGUGCCCAGUAGUGGGGGAUAACUACUCGAAAGAGUGGCUAAUACCGCAUGAGAUCUCUGGAUGAAAGCGGGGGACCGUAAGGCCUCGCGCUACUGGAGCGGCCGAUAUCAGAUUAGGUUGUUGGUGAGGUAAUGGCUCACCAAGCCGACGAUCUGUAGCUGGUCUGAGAGGACGACCAGCCACACUGGGACUGAGACACGGCCCAGACUCCUACGGGAGGCAGCAGUGGGGAAUUUUGGACAAUGGGCGCAAGCCUGAUCCAGCAAUGCCGCGUGCAGGACGAAGGCCUUCGGGUUGUAAACUGCUUUUGUACGGAACGAAAAGCCUUCUUCUAAUACAGGAGGGUCAUGACGGUACCGUAAGAAUAAGCACCGGCUAACUACGUG
rnacentral:rRNA from 1 species